CACCUGGGGAGUACGACCGCAAGGUUGAAACUCAAAGGAAUUGACGGGGGCCCGCACAAGCAGUGGAGUAUGUGGUUUAAUUCGACGCAACGCGAAGAACCUUACCAAGUCUUGACAUCCCUUGACGAUGCUGGAAACAGUAUUUCUCUUCGGAGCAAGGAGACAGGUGGUGCAUGGUUGUCGUCAGCUCGUGUCGUGAGAUGUUGGGUUAAGUCCCGCAACGAGCGCAACCCUUAUGGUCAGUUACUACGCAAGAGGACUCUGGCCAGACUGCCGUUGACAAAAC
rnacentral:rRNA from 1 species